AUAAUGGGUCAGCGACUUAUAUUCUGUAGCAAGGUUAACCGAAUAGGGGAGCCGAAGGGAAACCGAGUCUUAACUGGGCGUUAAGUUGCAGGGUAUAGACCCGAAACCCGGUGAUCUAGCCAUGGGCAGGUUGAAGGUUGGGUAACACUAACUGGAGGACCGAACCGACUAAUGUUGAAAAAUUAGCGGAUGACUUGUGGCUGGGGGUGAAAGGCCAAUCAAACCGGGAGAUAGCUGGUUCUCCCCGAAAGCUAUUUAGGUAGCGCCUCGUGAAUUCAUCUCCGGGGGUAGAGCACUGUUUCGGCAAGGGGGUCAUCCCGACUUACCAACCCGAUGCAAACUGCGAAUACCGGAGAAUGUUAUCACGGGAGACACACGGCGGGUGCUAACGUCCGUCGUGAAGAGGGAAACAACCCAGACCGCCAGCUAAGGUCCCAAAGUCAUGGUUAAGUGGGAAACGAUGUGGGAAGGCCCAGACAGCCAGGAUGUUGGCUUAGAAGCAGCCAUCAUUUAAAGAAAGCGUAAUAGCUCACUGGUCGAGUCGGCCUGCGCGGAAGAUGUAACGGGGCUAAACCAUGCACCGAAGCUGCGGCAGCGACGCUGAUGCGUUGUUGGGUAGGGGAGCGUUCUGUAAGCCUGUGAAGGUGUGCUGUGAGGCAUGCUGGAGGUAUCAGAAGUGCGAAUGCUGACAUAAGUAACGAUAAAGCGGGUGAAAAGCCCGCUCGCCGGAAGACCAAGGGUUCCUGUCCAACGUUAAUCGGGGCAGGGUGAGUCGACCCCUAAGGCGAGGCCGAAAGGCGUAGUCGAUGGGAAACAGGUUAAUAUUCCUGUACUUGGUGUUACUGCGAAGGGGGGACGGAGAAGGCUAUGUUGGCCGGGCGACGGUUGUCCCGGUUUAAGCGUGUAGGCUGGUUUUCCAGGCAAAUCCGGAAAAUCAAGGCUGAGGCGUGAUGACGAGGCACUACGGUGCUGAAGCAACAAAUGCCCUGCUUCCAGGAAAAGCCUCUAAGCAUCAGGUAACAUCAAAUCGUACCCCAAACCGACACAGGUGGUCAGGUAGAGAAUACCAAGGCGCUUGAGAGAACUCGGGUGAAGGAACUAGGCAAAAUGGUGCCGUAACUUCGGGAGAAGGCACGCUGAUAUGUAGGUGAAGUCCCUCGCGGAUGGAGCUGAAAUCAGUCGAAGAUACCAGCUGGCUGCAACUGUUUAUUAAAAACACAGCACUGUGCAAACACGAAAGUGGACGUAUACGGUGUGACGCCUGCCCGGUGCCGGAAGGUUAAUUGAUGGGGUCAGCGCAAGCGAAGCUCUUGAUCGAAGCCCCGGUAAACGGCGGCCGUAACUAUAACGGUCCUAAGGUAGCGAAAUUCCUUGUCGGGUAAGUUCCGACCUGCACGAAUGGCGUAAUGAUGGCCAGGCUGUCUCCACCCGAGACUCAGUGAAAUUGAACUCGCUGUGAAGAUGCAGUGUACCCGCGGCAAGACGGAAAGACCCCGUGAACCUUUACUAUAGCUUGACACUGAACAUUGAGCCUUGAUGUGUAGGAUAGGUGGGAGGCUUUGAAGUGUGGACGCCAGUCUGCAUGGAGCCGGCCUUGAAAUACCACCCUUUAAUGUUUGAUGUUCUAACGUUGACCCGUUAUCCGGGUUGCGGACAGUGUCUGGUGGGUAGUUUGACUGGGGCGGUCUCCUCCUAAAGAGUAACGGAGGAGCACGAAGGUUGGCUAAUCCUGGUCGGACAUCAGGAGGUUAGUGCAAUGGCAUAAGCCAGCUUGACUGCGAGCGUGACGGCGCGAGCAGGUGCGAAAGCAGGUCAUAGUGAUCCGGUGGUUCUGAAUGGAAGGG
rnacentral:rRNA from 1 species